UAUGAUCCAGAGUACCACGGGACACGUGAAACCCUGUGGGAAGCAGGAGGGACCACCCUCCAAGGCUAAAUACUACCUAGUGACCGAUAGCGUAUAGUACCGUGAGGGAAAGGUGAAAAGAACCCCGGGAGGGGAGUGAAAUAGAACCUGAAACCCUGCACUUACAAGCUGUGGAAGCACAUUUCUUGUGUGACCGCGUACUUUUUGUAGAACGGGCCAACGAGUUACGUUAAGUAGCAAGGUUAAGCACUUAAGGUGCGGAGCCGUAGCGAAAGCGAGUUUUAACUGAGCGUUCAGUUACUUGACGUAGACCCGAAACCGGGCGACCUACCCAUGAGCAGGAUGAAGCGAAAGUAAAAUUUCGUGGAGGUCCGAACCCACGAGCGUUGAAAAGCUCGGGGAUGACUUGUGGGUAGCGGUGAAAUUCCAAUCGAGCCCGGAGAUAGCUGGUUCUCCCCGAAAUAGCUUUAGGGCUAGCCUCAAGGUGAGAGAUACGGAGGUAGAGCACUGAAUGUCCUAGGGGGUAUUGCACCUACCGAAGACUAUCAAACUCCGAAUGCCGUCAUCUUAUACUUGGGAGUCAGACUGUGGGUGAUAAGAUUCAUAGUCGAAAGGGCAACAGCCCAGAUCGUCAGCUAAGGUCCCUAAAUGUAAGUUAAGUGGUAAAGGAUGUGGGAUUGCACAGACAACCAGGAUGUUGGCUUAGAAGCAGCCACUCAUUCAAAGAGUGCGUAAUAGCUCACUGGUCGAGUGAUCCUGCGCCGAAGAUUUCCGGGGCUAAAACUUACUACCGAAGCUACGGCAUCAGUAAUGAUGGGUAGGGGAGCUUCCCAUACGGGUUGAAGCAUGACCGUAAGGACAUGUGGACAGUAUGGGAGUGAGAAUGUUGGCAUGAGUAGCGAGAUGUGGGUGAGAAUCCCACAGGCCGUAAACCCAAGGUUUCCAGGGGAAGGUUCGUCCGCCCUGGGUUAGUCGGGACCUAAGCUGAGGCCGAAAGGCGUAGGUGAUGGACAACAGGUUGAUAUUCCUGUACUACCGAUAACCGUUUGAGAGAAGGGAUGACACAGUAGGAUAAGCUAAGCACACUGUUGGUUAUGUGUGCCCAAGCAUUGAGGCAGUCAAAGUAGGCAAAUCCGCUUUGAUAAUGCUGGGAUGUGAUGGGGAGCGAAAUUUAGUAGCGAAGUAGCUGAUUUCACACUGUCAAGAAAAGUCUCUAUCGAGGUUAAAGGUACCCGUACCGCAAACCGACACAGGUGGGUGAGGAGAGUAUCCUAAGGCCAGCGAGAGAACUGUUGUUAAGGAACUCGGCAAAAUGACCCCGUAACUUAGGGAUAAGGGGUGCCACCAUCAGGUGGCCGCAGAGAAUAGGCCCAAGCGACUGUUUACCAAAAACAUAGGUUUCUGCUAAGUCGCAAGACGAUGUAUAGGAGCUGACGCCUGCCCGGUGCUGGAAGGUUAAGGGGAUCUGUUAGAGCAAUCGAAGCAGUGAACUUAAGCCCCAGUAAACGGCGGCCGUAACUAUAACGGUCCUAAGGUAGCGAAAUUCCUUGUCGGGUAAGUUCCGACCCGCACGAAAGGCGUAACGAUUUGGGCACUGUCUCAACAACAGACUCGGUGAAAUUGUAAUUCCGGUGAAGAUGCCGGAUACCUGCGACAGGACGGAAAGACCCCAUGGAGCUUUACUGUAGCUUGACAUUGGGUCUUGGUACUACAUGUACAGGAUAGGUGGGAGGCUUUGAAACCAGGACGCCAGUUUUGGCGGAGCCAUCCUUGGGAUACCACCCUUGUAGUACUGGGACUCUAACCAUAGGCCAUGAAUCUGGUCUUGGGACACUGUCAGGUGGGCAGUUUGACUGGGGCGGUCGCCUCCCAAAAGGUAACGGAGGCGCUCAAAGGUUCUCUCAGUACGGUCGGAAAUCGUACGUAGAGUGUAAAGGCAAAAGAGAGCUUGAUUGCAAGACAUACAGGUCGAGCAAGGAUGAAAAUCGGACUUAGUGAUCCGGUGGUUCUGCGUGGAAGGGCCAUCGCUCAACGGAUAAAAGCUACCCUGGGGAUAACAGGCUUAUCUCCCCCAAGAGUCCACAUCGACGGGGAGGUUUGGCACCUCGAUGUCGGCUCAUCACAUCCUGGGGCUGUAGUAGGUCCCAAGGGUUGGGCUGUUCGCCCAUUAAAGUGGUACGCGAGCUGGGUUCAGAACGUCGUGAGACAGUUCGGUCCCUAUCCGUCGCAGGCGUAGGAAAUUUGAGAAGACCUGUCCUUAGUACGAGAGGACCGGGAUGGACGUACCUCUGGUGUACCAGUUGUCCUGCCAAGGGCAUGGCUGGGUAGCUAUGUACGGAAUGGAUAAGCGCUGAAAGCAUCUAAGCGCGAAGCCAACUUCAAGAUAAGAUUUCCCACCGCAAGGGUAAGACCCCAGAAAGACUAUCUGGUUGAUAGGUCGAAGGUGUAAGUGCAGCAAUGUAUUUAGCUUAUCGAUACUAAUAGGUCGAGGACUUGACCAA
rnacentral:rRNA from 4 species